CCUACGGGAGGCAGCAGUAGGGAAUAUUGGACAAUGGGUGCAAGCCUGAUCCAGCCAUGCCGCGUGCAGGAAGAAGGCCUUCUGGGUUGUAAACUGCUUUUGCCAGGGGAUAAAAUAGCUGUGCGCAGUGAAUUGAAGGUACCUGGUGAAUAAGCCACGGCUAACUACGUGCCAGCAGCCGCGGUAAUACGUAGGUGGCAAGCGUUGUCCGGAUUUAUUGGGUUUAAAGGGUGCGUAGGCGGUUUUUUAAGUCAGUGGUGAAAUACGGCAGCUUAACUGUCGAUGUGCCAUUGAUACUGGAAGACUUGAGUACUGAUGAGGUAGGCGGAAUGGACGGUGUAGCGGUGAAAUGCUUAGAGAUCGUCCAGAACACCGAUAGCGAAGGCAGCUUACUAAGGAGUAACUGACGCUGAGGCACGAAAGUGUGGGGAUCAAACAGGAUUAGAUACCCUGGUAGUCCACACUGUAAACGAUGAUUACUCGAUGUUGGGUCGAUACACACGCCGACGCGUCUUAGACAAACGACGAGUAAGUAAUACCACCGUACGGGGAGGUACCGGCCCGCCGACGGGUAGGAAACGUACGAAAGUAGUAAGUUAGUACGGACGUAGAGACGUUACGCCGACGGACGACGACGAGGGGAGGUAGG
rnacentral:rRNA from 1 species